rnacentral:rRNA from 1 species
GGUUCGAUUAUGGUCGCCAGAUUGAACGCUGGCGGGAUGCUUUACAUGCAAGUCGGAAUGCAGCACGACUUCGGUCUGGUGGCGAGUGGCGAACGGGUGAGUAAUGGUAUCGGAACGUGCCUAGUAGCGGGGAUAACUACGCGAAAGCGAAGCAUCACUGCAUAUUGCCCUUCGGGGGAAAGCGGGGACCUCUGGGCCUCGCACUAUUAGAGCGGCCGAUAUCGGAUUAGCUAGUUGGUGGGUAACGGCUCACCAAGGCGACGAUCCGUAGCUGGUUUGAGAGGGACGACCAGCCACACCGGGACUGGAGACACAGCUGCCCAGACUCCUACGGGAGGCAGCAGUGGGGAAUUUUGGACAAUGGGGAAACCCUGAUCCAGCCAUCCGCGUGUGCGAUGAAGGCCUUCGGGUUGUAAAGCACUUUUGGCAGGAAGAAACGCACGGGAUAAUACCCCGUGCAACUGACGGGGUACCUGCAGAAUAAGCACCGCCAACUUGCCGCCAGCAGCCGCGGUAAUAAUGUAGGCAGCGUUAAUCGGAAUUGGCUACUGGGCGUAAAGCGCGCAGGCGGGUUCGGAAAGAAAGACGGAAACUGCAGGAGCUAACUUUGGAACUGCAUUUUGAAUUUACCGAGCUAGAGUGUGUCAGAGGGAGGUGGAAUUCCGCGUGUAGCAGGAAAUGCGGAUAUGGCAGGAGGAACACCCGAUGGCGAAGGCAGCCUCUGGGAUAACAUCACACUGACGCUCGCACGAAAGCGCGGGGAGCAAAACAGGAUUAGAUACCCUGCAGUCCACGCCCUAAACGAUGUCAACUAGCUGUUGGGGCCUUCGGGCCUUGGUAGCGCAGCUAACGCGUGAAGUUGGACCAUCAGUCUGGGGAGUACGGUCGCAAGAUUAAAACUAAUAAAGCGGAAUUGAGCCGGACCUGCACAAGCGGUGGAUGAUGUGGGAUUAAUUCGAUGCAACGCGAAAACCCUACCUACCCUUGACAUGUCUGAAUCCCGAAGAGAUUUGGGAGGCUCGUAAGAGAACCGGAACACAGGUGCUCGCAUGGCUAUCGUCAGCUCGUGUCGUGAGAUGUUGGGUUAAGUCCCGCAACGAGCGCAAACUCUUGUCAUUAGUUGCUACGAAAGGGCACUCUGAAUGAGACUGUUAGACAAACUGGAGGAAGGGGGACAGACGUCAAGUCCUCAUGGCCCUUUAUGGGUAGGGCUUCACACGUCAUAAUGGUCGGGACAGAGGGUCGCCAACCAAGUAGGGGAGCCAAUCCUGAACCUGAUCGGUCUGGAUCAGAAGCCUGUAACUGACUGCGUGAAGUCGGAAUCGCUAGUAACCGCGAUCAGUUACUGUCGCGGUGAAUACGUUCCCCGGGUCUUGUACACACCGCCCGCUCACACCAUGGAGUGGGUUUUACCAGAAGUAGUUAGCCUAACCGUAAGGAGGGCGAUUACCACGGUAGGAUUCAGGAUCAGUGAAGUCGCACAGCCGC